rnacentral:misc_RNA from 1 species
CGAGCGAGCGGAUUGCUUCCUGGGCUCCCCUCCGCUCCCAGGCCGUGUGGUUUAAUAGGGGCGGGCGAGCGCCGUGGCGCCACGUGGCGACGCGGCCGCGGGGAUUGGGUUGCCGCCGGGAGGAUGACACGCAGGGCCCUCCCCACAGGGACUGACUCGCGCCGUGUGGUUCUGUUGCUGGUGGCUGGUGCUCGCGGUGGGCACGCCGCCUCUUCCUUUCCCUUUCCCUCUCCUCUCCUCUCCUCCACGGUCCGGGCUAGAUUUCCAUUCUCUCCGUAUUCCGGUUCUCGCGUGCAGUGUGGUGGACUGGAGCUGGAGGCUCCGGCCCCCGGUUUUGGGGGUUUGUUUCUUCUUUUUUCCUUGU